AGUUCCCUGCUACGGUCGUGAAGGAAGUUGUUUUUUGAGCCAACACAUUUAGAAUGGCCGUCGUUGACGGCGCCUGUUGUGCAGAUCCGGGAGCGAUUCCGGAAAGCCUGAUGGUGAUCGCGUAGAUGGCCACCUGGUUAGCCAGGUUCAAAAAAUGACGCCUCACGCCGCGCGCGGGGAAAUG
rnacentral:other from 1 species